AUUGAACGCUGGCGGCAGGCCUAACACAUGCAAGUCGAGCGAGAGGCGGACGGGAGAGUAAUGUCUGGGCAACUGCGUGAUGGAGGGGGAUAACUACUGGAAACGGUAGCUGAUACCGCAUAGCAGAAGAUGUGCCCAGAUGGGAUUAGCUAGUUGGUGGGGUAACGGCCCACCAAGGCGACGAUCCCUAGCUGGUCUGAGAGGAUGAACAGCCACACUGGAACUGAGACACGGUCCAGACUCCUACGUGAGGCAGCAGUGGGGAAUAUUGCACAAUGGGCGCAAGCCUGAUGCAGCCAUGCCGCGUGUGUGAAGAAGGUCUUCGGGUUGUAAAGUACUUUCAGCGGGGAGGCGUUACCCGCAGAAUAAGCACCGGCUAACUCCGUGCCAGCAGCCGCGGUAAUUC
rnacentral:rRNA from 1 species